rnacentral:rRNA from 1 species
AUGUCCGGGUUAAGUUGUUGGCGCCCAACGCGGCAAUCGACCCCAAAUUGUCUGCCCCAGCACAAGCGCCCUCCGCCGUGCCCCGACCCCGCCCGCAGAGCCGCGCCAGCGCGCGCUCCGCCUCGCCCGCAGCAGCUCGCGUCGCGCCCUGCUCCGCGCCUGAUGCGACAUGCCAUUGCCAUUGCCAUGCGGCAUCUCACAACUGGUGUCACUGUUACCCUGGCCUCAUCCCGGAGAAUGAGCUCCAGCACGAGCGCGCGGACACCGGGGAGCAGGGCCACCAGCCGCCGGAGUACGGUGCACGCAUGGAGCUCGUCCACCAGCCGCCAACGCACCCAGCAGAAGCGCCUCGAGUUUUGCCAGCAGCGCGUCCACGGCCGGCUUCUCCACGUCCAUGACCGCGUCCAAGUCCGGCGUCUCCGGCACCACCGCGUCCAUGGCCAGCGACAGCAAAUCGCGAGGGCACGCAGCCGGCAAGACCAAGCCGUGAGGGCACGCUGCACUUCUCCCUCCGCCCAGCGCGCCCACGCGCGUUCCGUCCCGCAGCCCGCGUCCUCCGCGCCCUCCACCCAGCGUGCCAGUGCCCUCCGCGCCGCGCCCACGUGCCCUGCUCCGUCCCGCGCACUCCGCCCAGCGCCCUCCGCCCCACGUGCGCCCGCCGCUCCGCCCUGGCCGCGCCCCGUGGUGGUCGCGCCCGCGGUGGCCGCGCCGGCCCGCACCCUGGCAGACCGGCGGUGGCCGCGCCCGCGCCCUGGCCGCCCCGCGGUGACCGCGCUGCCCUCGCCCCGAGCUCGUUGCCGCACCUCCGCGUGCGCCUUGGCCUCGCCCGAGCUCCUCCGACUCGCCGCGUGCGGCAAGAACACCACGGGCGUCCGCCCCGCCGUCGUCGACAGAGUUGGGCGCGGCCUGCGAGGCUGCCUGCGUCGCGGCUGCCGGGGUCGUGCGCCGGAGCGGUGGAGAAGAAUCAGAGAAAAAGGAGGAGAGAGAGAAGUGGAGAAGAAUCAGAGAAAAAGGAGGAAAGAGAGAGGAGGAUGGGUGGAUGGUGGGCCCCUUUGUUUCAAUGACAAGCGGGCCAGGCCUCACAUGCAAAGGGACAGGCGCGGACGAGGACCGCGCAGAAAACGUCCGCCCGUGUCCGUUUCUUACCCAAAACCAGACCAAGUAUGCAUCCAGGAUGGGGCGAGCCGGACCAGAAACGGACGUUUUUUUACGGAUGGGGUCAUGCGUUGA